rnacentral:rRNA from 1 species
AGCGAACGCUGGCGGCAGGCCUAACACAUGCAAGUCGAACGGCAGCACAGUAAGAGCUUGCUCUUAUGGGUGGCGAGUGGCGGACGGGUGAGGAAUACAUCCGAAUCUACUUUUUCGUGGGGGAUAACGUAGGGAAACUUACGCUCAUACCGCAUACGACCUACGGGUGAAAGCAGGGGAUCUUCGCACCUUGCGCGAAUGAACUAGCCGAUGUCGGAUUAGCUAGUUGGCGGGGUACAGGCCCACCAAGUCGACGAUCCGUAGCUGGUCUGAGUGGAUGGUCGGCCGCACUGGAGCUUAGCCACGCACCAUGCUCCUGCGAGAGGCAGCAGUGGGGAAUGUUGGGCAAUAGGGGCGAACCUGGUCCAACCAUCCCGCGUGGGAGAAGAAGGCCUUCGGGUUGUAAAGCCCUUUUGUGGGGAGAGAAAAGCAGCAGGUUAAUACCCCGCUGUUCUGACGGUAACGAAAGAAUAAGCACCGGCUAACUUCGUG